UAAGACGAACCGUCCUAACGUUAUUCGGAUUCACUGGGCUUAAAGGGCGCGUAGGCUGUUUACCAAGUCCGGGGUGAAAUCUUUCGGCUUAACCGGAAAAGUGCCUUGGAUACUGGUGAACUCGAGGGAGGUAGGGGCAUGUGGAACUUCCGGUGGAGCGGUGAAAUGCGUUGAUAUCGGAAGGAACGCCGGUGGCGAAAGCGACGUGCUGGCCCUCUUCUGACGCUGAGGCGCGAAAGCUAGGGGAGCAAACGGGAUUAGAUACCCCGGUAGUCCUAGCCCUAAACGAUGGGUACUAGGUAGUGGGCUUACAUGGGUUCACUGCCGAAGCAAAAGUGAUAAGUACCCCGCCUGGGGAGUAUGGUCGCAAGGCUG
rnacentral:rRNA from 1 species